UACGUAGGCAGCGAGCGUUGUUCGGAGUUACUGGGCGUAAAGAGUGCGUAGGCGGUUUUCUAAGUUUGGUGUGAAAUCUCCCGGCUUAACUGGGAGGGUGCGCCGAAAACUGGAAGGCUUGAGUAUGGGAGAGGUAAGCGGAAUUCCUGGUGUAGCGGUGAAAUGCGUAGAGAUGUGGAGGAACACCAGUGGCGAAGGCGACUCUUUGGCCUGUAACUGACGCUGAGGCGCGAAAGCGUGGGGAGCAACAGG
rnacentral:rRNA from 1 species